AUUGAACGCUGGCGGCAUGCUUUACACAUGCAAGUCGAGCGGCAGCGCGGGGGCAACCCUGGCGGCGAGCGACGAACGGGUGAGUAAUGCAUCGGAACGUAUCCUCGAGUGGGGGAUAACCCAGCGAAAGUUGGGCUAAUACCGCAUGAGCUCCGAGGAGGAAAGCGGGGGACCUGCGAGGGCCUCGCGCUGGAGGAGCGGCCGAUGUCCGAUUAGCUAGUUGGUGGGGUAAAGGCUUACCAAGGCGACGAUCGGUAGCUGGUCUGAGAGGAUGAUCAGCCACACUGGGACUGAGACACGGCCCAGACUCCUACGGGAGGCAGCAGUGGGGAAUUUUGGACAAUGGGGGCAACCCUGAUCCAGCCAUGCCGCGUGAGUGAAGAAGGCCUUCGGGUUGUAAAGCUCUUUCGGACGGAACGAAAUGGGCGGGACUAAUACUCCUGUCUGAUGACGGUACCGUAAGAAGAAGCACCGGCUAACUACGUG
rnacentral:rRNA from 1 species